rnacentral:rRNA from 1 species
CCUACGGGGGGCUGCAGUGGGGAAUAUUGGACAAUGGGCGAAAGCCUGAUCCAGCCAUGCCGCGUGUGUGAAGAAGGCCUUCGGGUUGUAAAGCACUUUCAGUGGGGAAGAAAGCCUUGGGGCUAAUACCCUCGAGGAAGGACAUCACCCACAGAAGAAGCACCGGCUAACUCCGUGCCAGCAGCCGCGGUAAUACGGAGGGUGCGAGCGUUAAUCGGAAUUACUGGGCGUAAAGCGCGCGUAGGCGGUCUGAUAAGCCGGUUGUGAAAGCCCCGGGCUCAACCUGGGAACGGCAUCCGGAACUGUCAGGCUAGAGUGCAGGAGAGGAAGGUAGAAUUCCCGGUGUAGCGGUGAAAUGCGUAGAGAUCGGGAGGAAUACCAGUGGCGAAGGCGGCCUUCUGGACUGACACUGACGCUGAGGUGCGAAAGCGUGGGUAGCAAACAGGAUUAGAUACCCUUGUAGU